UUGGUGUCUGGACACCUAAGGCGUGCCGGUCAGCCGCAGGGGUCCCUGACUGUUAACCUCAAGCCUUCUUGAAGAGGAUGUUGGGUGGCCUCACUAUCUGAGGUGCUGGGUGGGCUCCCUGUUGAGGAUGCUCGGCUCUCCACGAGUGUCUCCUGGUGGCCUCAAAAGCUUGAGUGUUUUGGGAGGUGUGGGGUUGUCAUCAGCCGGGACUUAGAGAUGACAACGACAAGGCCACCUUGCCACCAGUCCCGCUCUGUUGGUCCUUUAGACCUUCCGAGAAGUCACAGUGGCAGCCUAUCCUUAGAGGCUGCUCCCAGGAGGAGUCUUCACACAGACCCAGGAAGGCCUGCUCCACCUUCCCUCAUCCUUCACCACCCUGCCCCGGCACCAGUAGCAGAGUUAGAGCCCAGCCACAGGACCAGGGGAGACAUUCUGGCUCACGAGGCCGGGCAAAGCUCUGCCAGGGAGGAAGUCAGGACCCAUUCAUCCUUCCCCUGAGAAGGGAGCUGUCUGGAUAGCCAUGAGUCCCCGAUCCUCCAUUCACCAGUUCUGGACCCUUUAAUCAUUCCACAGGGACAAACACUAUGUGAUUUUUAAAAAAAAAUUAGAACUAGGUUAAUUCCAAGUUUUAGGUGAGAGAUGGUUCCAUGAAGAAACAAAUCACAAAGGAAAUAAGAGUCACUCAGUCAAUCUUUUCAACCAAUGGCUGCGACAGCUGUGCUCACGUGGCCCCAGCCCUGACAGAUCAAGGGCUAGGAGGGUGCUGAUGUUGGUGAUGCUGAACAAACACACCACAGGAGGAACCAUACCUCAGGUUUUGGGAACUUGAGGCAUCAUUCCAGAGGAAGUGAUGUCUCAACUAAGGAAAAAGAUGAGCCCGAAACUGUCCAAGAAGGGGAGUGAGAUUGCUGUGGGCCACAGGAACACCAGGAUCCAUGGCCUAAUGGGAUGGGUUCCAGCUCCACCAUGACACCAGAAGGCCACUCUCUUGAGGGAACCAGGUGUUCAAAGACGCCGCCUCAGUGGGACUCAACUGGGAGUGUGCUUAGAAUCACAUGGGAACUAAGAAAAAAAAAAUCCCCAAACCCUAACCCAAUGCAGCCAUCAGGCUCCACCCACCCUCUGACAUUCUGGUUUGCUGGGUUAGAAGAAAGAAGUUUGCGCGUUGGCAGAAUAUAAAGAUCCCCUUAUGACGCUGGCGUGCUGGGCUGGCUUGGUUUAUUUCAUGUUCAAUUUGACGCAAACUAGGGUCAUCUGGGAACCUCAGUGGAAAAAUGUCUCCAUUAGAAUGUCCUGUAGGUUGGCCAGGGGAUGGUGGCUUCUGUGAGUUCGAGGCCAGCCUGGUCUACAGAGUGAGUUCCAGGACAGGCACCAAAAACUACACAGAGAAACCCUGUUUUGAAAAGAAUGUCCUGUAGGCAAGUCUCAUUUUCUUUAAUUAUUGGUGCGAGAGGGGCUCAGCCCACAGUGGGCCUCUAGAGCCAACCCCUGGGCAGGUGGUUCUGGGAAGACUAAGAAAGGCAGCUGAAUGUCAGCCGGGAGAGCAAGACCACACGCGCAGUAGUUCCCAGUGGCCUCUGCUUCAGUCUCUGCUUCCAGGUCCCGGCUCUGACUUCCCUCAACGAGGCACUGCGAUGUGGAAGUGUAAGCCAAGUAAACCCUUUCCUCCCCCCAGUUUCACUUCAUCCUUUGUUUAUCAUAGUGAUGGAAAGUAAGCCAGGACAGGUACAGGCUGAAUAUCACCAGUCCCUGCGGGCCUGUUUGCAGACUUUUGCUAGCGUACUGUUCGGUUGAUCUUCCAUGGCACAAAGACUGGAGUUCCUUGUGGAGUGACCGGCGGGGAAGAGCAGUGGUUCUGAGGGGGAGACAAGAGACCUCUUCUGUAGCAUCCAGGUGGGCCCCAGGCUCUGCUCCAGGCUCAGACACCUGGAUUAAAGCGACUUGAGGUAGGAGCGGAUCGUUUCGGCUCCUGGUUUGAGAGGACAUGUUCCACUGCGGGACGGAAGUGUGAAGCAGCUGGUCACAUUGUGUCCACACUCAGGAUUCCGAGAGAAGAAGGCAUGGGUGUUAGGAAUCUGCGCUCCGGUCUCCCUCCUCCCACUCCAGACCCCGCCCCUCAGAAAGCCCGCCAAGUGUUGGCUCCUCCCCCAGGGUUGCUCAAGACCACACCUACAGGGUAUUUAAGACCGAUCACCAGACCUGCCAGGUGAUUUUCUCUCCUGUCUCCGAGAGUCACUCGGGAGUCGCUUUGCUUAUAUUAAUAUUUUGUUUAUUAAAUCUAGUCUUAUUAAUUCGGCUUGAUUUGGCUUAUUGCUUCGGCGGAGGAUACCCAAUAACCGGGGAUCCAAUACUUAGCAGCGGGCGCUUAUUGGCUUCCUCCUUUCCCCCUUUCUACAGGCCCUAGUCACGGAAUGGUGCCUCCCCCAAUCUGGCUAGGACUUCUCUCCUCAGUGUCUGGAAACACUCUCACUGACACAUCCAGAAGUGUGUGUCCUAGGUGGUUCCAAAGCCGAUGAAAUUGCUAGUGAGGAUUAACCAUUAUACUGCUUUUUCUGUGGGAAUGUCCUACGAUCCUCCACCGAGCUUAGGGGUGACCCCAGGAAGUUUAUUAUGUGAAUUACGGGCACUUGGCUCCUAGCAUGCCCUGUAGCCUCUGCCCUGUGUGCCAACAGACCGCACAAGCCCAGGCCUAGAGCCCCCAGCACUCAGUAAACGAGGACAUUGUAAUUCUCCAGGCGACCAGAGACUGUGAAAGGACACUCUCCACAUGGAAGGCCAUUUAAACCACAGGUUUGGAAAUGGGGCCUCAUGUUUUCUUCUGCUUUGUAGUGACGCACACUUCCAUGGAGGUUGUGUGUAGGAAAUGGGCGGGAGACAGCAGUGUUGUAACUAUCUUUUUUUGUCACCUACCCCCCAAGUCCUUGUGUCCCCCCACCAUUUUUCUCUCUGGAGAUAAGAGUCUUACUAUAUAGCCCUGGGUGACCGAGAACUUGCUAUGUAGGACAGGCUGGCCUGGAACUGGCAGUGGUCCAACUGCCUCUGCCUCCCGAGUACUGGAGUUACAGAUGAGAGCUACCACCAGGUACGUCUUCCCCCACCUUUGCCUGGUUGUAGCCCAGAUCCUGAACCUCUUUGACUUUCAGUGGUGACAUUUCCAGAGGAUCCUUGACAAUCUCAGAGACCCCGGAAGUCUCAUGCAUGAAAUUGCUCUCCCUGCUGGGAACCAGGUUCCUCUGCACUUUGAUCUUCUAGCUGGGAUCUAGUGAUGGUCACACCCUUCAGGAGAAGGGGACAGAAAACGUCAAGUGUAUCAUGAUGCAUUUCUGUUUGUGUAUCCCUGCAGGUCUCCACUGUUUGGCCACAGUCCAGCGUCAAUUAUGAGUAUGGAAGACAUGCCCGGGCAUGUCUGGUGGAUAGGCUGGCCAGGAGCCCAUAGGCUGGAAGACCAAGCUGAUCCUUGAGAGGGGUGCUUGACUUCUACAGCAAGCCAAGUGAUCUGGGCUUGGACUAAGGUCUGAGUUAGGGAGGGAAAGCUCUCCUAUGAGCACAGGUGAAUAUUAACCAUCACGGUGGCGGCAGUCAUGGCAGUGAAUGAAAAAAAGAAAUUAAAAGGAGGCCAUGACGGCUCCUAGGUAUGUGGAGGAGAAAGUCUAUUGUAGAUAUGAGGGAGAGCACAGCCAGA